rnacentral:rRNA from 1 species
CGGCGAGUGAAGCGGCAACAGCUCAAAUUUGAAAUCUGGCGGUUUGACCGUCCGAGUUGUAAUUUGCAGAGGGAGUCUCGGGUUGAGGGUCGGUCCAAGUCUCUUGGAACAGAAUACCGCAGAGGGUGAGAGUCCCGUCUCCGGCCGACACCGACGCCCGUGUGAGACCCCUUCGACGAGUCGAGUUGUUUGGGAAUGCAGCUCUAAAUGGGUGGUAAAUUCCAUCUAAGGCUAAAUACCGGCCAGAGACCGAUAGCGAACAAGUAGAGUGAUCGAAAGAUGAAAAGCACUUUGAAAAGAGAGUCAAACAGUACGUGAAAUUGUUGAAAGGGAAGCGUAUGAGGGCAGACUUGGCCGCGAGUGUUCAGCCCGUCUUCUGGCGGGUUUACUCUCUCGCGGACAGGCCAGCAUCGGUUUCCGGGGCCGGACAAAGGCGAUGGGAAUGUGGCUCUCCUCGGAGAGUGUUAUAGCCCGUCGUGUAAUGCGGCC